CAUGCAUUCUGAUGCAAGGGAGCCCCCUAUCUUUAGGGGCGAUGCCUCAGACAAGUUCACAGUUCAUGAGUGGGAGACUCUUAUGACCAUGUACUUGAAGAAACGGGCUAUCCCAGUUCAUGAGCAUUCACAAGAAAUUCUGGCUAAGCUUAUGGGCAAAGCAGGGGAUGUGGUGAAGAUAAAGUUGCGCAACGCAUCUGUUGAUCAUACACAGAAUCCCACAGUGAUCUUUGACAUAUUGAAACAGCAUUUUAGUGUGCACACAUACUCGAACAUGCCAUUAGCUGAUUUUUAUAAUACCCUUCCAAAACCAGACGAGGACGCCAUGGAGUAUUGGAUCAGGCUUAACAAGACAAUGGAUAUUGCAAUCGAGUGUCUGAAAAGGCAAGGGCGUAGCAUUGAAGACCCGAACCAUGAGGUCAGCAUGAUGUUCACUAAGCACUGUCCUGACCAGUCACUUGCAAAUGUCUUCAAGUUUAAGUCUGCAGACAAAUGGCUAGCCAGUGAAAUUCAGGAACGGCUUGAUGAGCAUAUGCAGGACAAGAAGAGUCGUGCUUCUGUUAAGUCAGCUCAGCCAGAUACAGUGAAGUGCAAGGCCCAUUCGCAGUGCCAGGCACCCUUUGUUGACAGUGGGCCUGAGCCAAGACCUCCUACAUCUUCAAUGCAGUCUUCAGUGUCUUCUGCAGUUAGUGCCGACAACGACUACAUGAAAAGCUUGGUGGGAUUGCUGGAUAGGUUAGUGAUGCAGCAAAGUCAGAUACCUGUCAAUGUCAGCAACCAGGCUGCUGCGCCUGUAGCUUUCCGUAGGCCUUGCAGAGUCUGUAGCAAACUCGAUCACUCCACAGUGUCACACUGCAGACGGGAGAAUAGGUGUCUGAAGUGCCUUGCACCUGGACAUUGGAAGAAAGAUUGUACUCAGCGCUUUAGCCAGCAGCGUGCUCCACCUAGUGCGCCUAGUGGCAGGGCAGAGGGGCAGAACCAAAAGUUAAACUACUGAGCCCACACCUUGAGGGGGGUGGUGUGGGUGAAAAGACUGAAUCCCUCAAUGAAGAUUCUGACUUGAUUAGUGUGUUUGAAGAGAGUAUGGCUAAUGCAACUAAGGGGUCAAAGGUCAUCAUCCAAUCUAGCCAGAAGAUCCAGGCAUUCAGUGAGCUUUUCUAUAUUCCUGUUGUUAUCAACCACCAAGUCCAACUUGAAGGCAUGCUAGACUCAGGCUCCAUGGCGUGUACCAUCAGUGGACCGGCAGUGGAGAAGCUUAGAUGCGCUGGUGUCUUGCCUGAAAAGCAGCAUCCGGAGGAGAACAUUGUGCUAAUAGGUUGUGGGGGUCGGCAAACUCAACCAGAAGGGCUUUAUGAGUUAAAGAUCCAGAUUUAUGGCACAUGCUGCAUCGUACCCACUUUAGUUGUCCCAUCUCAGCCAGAUGACCUCAUAAUUGGGUCAAAUGUCAUCAAACACCUGAUGCAUGAUUUAAAAAGUGACAGUAAAUAUUGGGACAUUGUGUCCAGUUACAAACAUCAGUCUAAUCCUGACAUUGACCACUUUUUGUCAAUGUUUACCAGUGUUGAGCAGUGGAAGGGGCAAGAGAUUCCUGAGAAGGUUGGAACGGUUAAGCUUACCCAAGCAGUCACUCUCUUGCCCAGACAUGAACACCUUGUCUGGGGCAGACUUCCUCCCAAUGUGCCGAUGUCACCAGGUAGCACAGUUAUGGUGGAGCCGACUGGAUCCAAAGCUCAGCCACGGGGUGUCCUUGUUGGCCGUCUCGUCACACCUCUAUGGGGUGACAGGGCUUACAUGUCGUCUCAGAGAAACAACAGCCAGACCCUUCUCACAGUUCAUGUUCUGGCUCCCAACCUGCAGCUGCGCUGGCAGAGUUAGGCUUGGCUGACAUCAAGAUCGACUCCUCUCACAUAAGUGAAAGUUGCAAGAAUGAGCUUGAUCAGUUACUUGCAGAGUUCCAGGACAUUUUUUCAAAACAUCCAUUGGACUGUGGUGAAGUUAAGGAGUUCACUCACCGCAUUCGUCUGACUGAUGACCGACCAUUUCGCUUACCAUACCGGAGAGUGCCUCCCGCACAUUAUCAGAAGCUGAGGCAAGUGCUUACAGAAAUGGAAGAAAGAGGAAUCAUUCGGAAGUCCACAAGUGAAUAUGCAUCGCCUCUGGUAAUGGUGUGGAAAAAGGAUGGGGGUCUACGAAUAUGUGUCGAUUUCAGAUGGUUGAAUGCACGAACUCUGAAGGAUGCUCACCCGUUGCCACACCAAUCAGAUUGUCUGGCUGCUUUGGGUGGCAACUGCUUCUUUAGUACAAUGGAUCUCACUUCAGGGUUUUAUAAUAUCCCUAUGCAUGAGGAUGACAAAAAAUACACGGCAUUUACAACACCUCUUGGAUUACACGAAUAUAAUCGCAUGCCACAAGGACUAUGUAACAGCCCUGCUUCCUUUAUGAGGAUGAUGAUGGGAAUC